rnacentral:misc_RNA from 1 species
AAAUUGCUUAUUUCAACACCAAGGUUGGUUGGAUUUGUAAUAUUUGUUUCCUGAAAAUGAUGUUAGAUCACAAACUCUAUUUUGCACAGGAAUGGACCAUUGUGUUUGUACCAGUUGUACUCCUUUCACUUCAAGCUGUUGCUUUCUUUUAUUCUUUUAAACACGUCUUAUGUUUAUGUUAUACAAUAAUUUGAUGUCUGGUUCUGAAUUAUGCAGGAAUAUUCUGAAGGUGGGCUUG